GGUCCAAAGACACCCGUCCAGCUGCUGGCUGCAGACGGGGUGGUGAAUCAGAGACAGGAGUGGCCUUCUCUUCAGGGCCUGGGUGAUAAAGAUGUGGCUUGGACAAGAACCAAGGGGGAUGCUCAGGUCUUCAGUUGGGGCUGAACACCACCUAGGGAGCCUGUGGCUUGGAGAUUGGGACACAUAAGGAGAGGCAGUAGAAGGAGCCUGUGUGUUGACCCCAAAGCCAGCUGCUGCUCGCACCCAGCACAGUGGGCGGGCAGGCAGGGCUCCUGGACAAUGCUUCCCAGACUUCCAAGAGGCCUGAGGCUCUUCCAGAAACCCAGCUCUGAUUCAGGAGCUCCGGGUAGAGCAGAAACUGCACUUCUGACAAGCCCUUGGAGGACUCUGCUCUGCCAGCCGCAGGCCACCAGGUGGGAACAGAGAGCAUAGGACUGCAAGGGUGACUCCAAGCAGCAGGAAGGUCUCGGAGGUGCCCAGCUGCUGGCAGCACUUUAAGGUGGCUCAUCCUCAGCAGGUGAAAGGUCGCCAGCAGCUGUCCACGCCAGGCCCUGUGCCUUUCUGUCUUGUCUUGGAGCCAGCUGACUACCACCAAACUGACUGAAACACCAACUUAGCAGUCAUCAUUCCCUGCCUCCCUUCCUCCCUUUCCAGGAACCCAGGAUGGAACCCAGGGUCUGGUGACUGCUGGGCCAACGCUUUCCCACUGAGUACUGUGGCCCCAGUCACAGCCUCCAAUCCAAACACCCCGCAGAGGAGAUCACCAGUGAGGUCCAGAACCUUCUCAAGAUGCCCCUCCCACCACGUUACUGUCCCUGUCACCCUGGAAGUCUGUGGGUCGGCUUCCUGUGUGGGAAGGCUGAGGAUCGAGUGACAGAAGUCACUGAGGGACCCUGGCCUGGGAACUGGAUGUGGUCCAGAGACUGAAUGAGCUCCUGGCUCACACCAAGAAGUCUAGACACGUGGAAGCAAGAGGGAUACAGCCAUGUAACCUGUACCACCAAGCAGGAGCUGACAAGCCCCAGAACCAGAGCUGAAGGAACAAAUGAGAUGUCUCCAUGGGCUGGUGUGGGGCAGGACAGGGCAAUCAAGAUAAUGGAACUUUAGGAAAAUAAAAUGUUUGCCAAACAUAA